rnacentral:rRNA from 1 species
AAGAACCUUACCUGGUCUUGACAUCCACGGAAGUUUUCAGAGAUGAGAAUGUGCCUUCGGGAACCGUGAGACAGGUGCUGCAUGGCUGUCGUCAGCUCGUGUUGUGAAAUGUUGGGUUAAGUCCCGCAACGAGCGCAACCCUUAUCCUUUGUUGCCAGCGGUCCGGCCGGGAACUCAAAGGAGACUGCCAGUGAUAAACUGGAGGAAGGUGGGGAUGACGUCAAGUCAUCAUGGCCCUUACGACCAGGGCUACACACGUGCUACAAUGGCGCAUACAAAGAGAAGCGACCUCGCGAGAGCAAGCGGACCUCAUAAAGUGCGUCGUAGUCCGGAUUGGAGUCUGCAACUCGACUCCAUGAAGUCGGAAUCGCUAGUAAUCGUGGAUCAGAAUGCCACGGUGAAUACGUUCCCGGGUCUUGU